CCUCGUAGCAGUGUUCUGGAAUCUUAUGUGAGGGACAAACACUUAGAACCCAGCAGCACUGUUCUGGAAUCCUAUGUGAAGGACAAACACUCUUUACACAGCAGGAGUGCUCUGGAAUACUUUGUGAGGGACAAACAUUCAGACAAUCGUAGCAGUGUUCUGAAAUCCUAUGUGAGGGACAAACACUCAGAAGCCAGCAGCAGUGUUCUGGAAUCCUUUGUGUCGGACAAACACUC
rnacentral:lncRNA from 1 species